rnacentral:misc_RNA from 1 species
AAAACCGCCGCGUAACACAUGAGGUACAAAUUUGACAGAAUAUAACACUCUUCUACAAGAACUCUACUUCAUUGGUAUAUGCUAAGUAUAUUAAUAUCAAACCGGUGAUGCUAAUCCGUUUGAGGCGCUAAAGCAGAUUCUUUACACUACUUGGUAUUUAUCCAGCUAUGCUCGUAAAAGAUUCAGUAGCAGUUGCGAUUUCUCGUUCUUUUUAACAUCAUAAUUUACAACUAUGCAGCCUCCAAGUGUGAACUCACCAGGUCCUCCAAGCUCGUGAACCCAAUAUUUGCAUCAGGUUUCGAUGCACUACAGCAGAUUCAAGUGGCCUCACUACAGGUGUAUAAUGUAUAGCAUUUGGUGAAGUUGCUUACUCGCUUCUGUCUUCUUGUGCAACUUCAAGUGGAAGCUUAUCAUCUGUAGCUCUGGUGGUAGAAGUAACAGUUUCGCCCUUCUUUCUUAUGUCAGAAACAUGCUGAUCCUCUCCAUCGUUGUGAUCAUCUGAAAUUUUACCAGUUUGACUUCUUUCAUCUGCCUUCACUUCCGAAUAAGUACUAUCAUCAUUUACAAUAUGAUAAUUUUCAGAAGUGGAAGCGUUGCGACUCAGAGAUGUAGAAUCACCAUUAAUAGAGUCAAUUUCGUCCCUAGUUUCUAACCCAACUGACUUGUCUUCUUUUCUAUAAUUAGCUGCUACCUCUGCUCUCCUCUUCUCCUCCUCCCUCUGUUGUCGUUUUCUUGCUUCUUGUUCCUUUAACUGUUUAAACCUUUCACCCUGGCGGGGCUUAUCUGAAGUAGGAUUUGCAUCUUUCUUUUUAGCUAUUGUUGCUUCAGAGACUAAUUUCUGAAUUUGAGGUUGCUCUUUCUUAGGUGUAUCAUCACUUAAUUUCAACGUUGGAACUUUUG